rnacentral:rRNA from 1 species
AUGGACAUCCAGCAGCUUCUUCAGAGUUUUGGAGGCACCACCACCUCAUUCCCGCUUAAAUAUUUGGGCCUCCCGCUUACUCUGACAAGAACACGGCUAGUGCACCUUCAGUUUGUCUUGGAUCGAAUCAGAGCAGGAUUGGCUGGAUGGAAGGGCAAACUCAUGACUAUUGCUGGACGAUGGGUGCUCGUCAGAGCAGUGCUGACUGCCAUCCCAGUUUUUGCUAUGACAGUACUCUGUAUGCCAAAGAAAUUCUUCAAGGAAAUUGACAAAGUGAGGCGUCGCUUUCUGUGGGCAGAAGAGGAGGAGCUAUCCGGAGGCAAAUGCAAAGUAAGCUGGAGCAAAGUUUGCUCCCCGUUGAGAAAGAAGGGUUGGGCAUUCUCAAUCUGGAGCAUUUUGGCCGGGCCCUGCGCCAGCGAUGGCUUUGGCAAACCUGGAAACACCCAGACAGGCCAUGGGUAG